CCAGACUCCUACGGGAGGCAGCAGUGGGGAAUAUUGCACAAUGGGGGGAACCCUGAUGCAGCGACGCCGCGUGAGUGAUGAAGUAUUUCGGUAUGUAAAGCUCUAUCAGCAGGGAAGAAAAUGACGGUACCUGACUAAGAAGCCCCGGCUAACUACGUGCCAGCAGCCGCGGUAAUACGUAGGGGGCAAGCGUUAUCCGGAUUUACUGGGUGUAAAGGGAGCGUAGACGGCGGCGCAAGUCAGAUGUGAAAGCCCGGGGCUCAACCCCGGGACUGCGUUGGAAACUGCGCGGCUAGAGUGUCGGAGAGGCAGGCGGAAUUCCUAGUGUAGCGGUGAAAUGCGUAGAUAUUAGGAGGAACACCAGUGGCGAAGGCG
rnacentral:rRNA from 1 species